CACGUAGGGCGCAAGCGUUGUCCGGAAUUAUUGGGCGUAAAGAGCUCGUAGGCGGUCUGUUGCGUCUGCUGUGAAAACCCGGGGCUUAACCCCUGGCUUGCAGUGGAUACGGACAGACUAGAGGUAGGUAGGGGAGAAUGGAAUUCCCGGUGUAGCGGUGAAAUGCGCAGAUAUCGGGAGGAACACCGGUGGCGAAGGCGGUUCUCUGGACCUUACCUGACGCUGAGGAGCGAAAGCGUGGGGAGCGAACAGG
rnacentral:rRNA from 1 species